GACGAACGCUGGCGGCGUGCUUAACACAUGCCAGUCGUACGGUAAGGCCCUUUCGGGGGUACACGAGUGGCGAACGGGUGAGUAACACGUGAGUAACCUGCCCACAACUUUGGGAUAACGCUAGGAAACUGGUGCUAAUACUGGAUAUGUGCUCCUGCUGCAUGGUGGGGGUUGGAAAGCUCCGGCGGUUGUGGAUGGACUUGCGGCCUAUCAGCUUGUUGGUGGGGUAGUGGCCUACCAAGGCGGCGACGGGUAGCCGGCCUGAGAGGGUGACCGGCCACAUUGGGACUGAGAUACGGCCCAGACUCCUACGGGAGGCAGCAGUGGGGAAUAUUGCACAAUGGGCGCAAGCCUGAUGCAGCAACGCCGCGUGCGGGAUGACGGCCUUCGGGUUGUAAACCGCUUUCAGCAGGGACGAAGCUUUUUGUGACGGUACCUGCAGAAGAAGCACCGGCUAACUACGUG
rnacentral:rRNA from 1 species